GUGAAGGACAAAGAGUCAGUGCUCUGAGGAACUGCCCACAAGAAACACCAAGAAGGUAUAUAUCCCCAUGGGACUUCAGGGACGAAGAGCAGAAAGAUGCUUUACAAAUCCAAGCAACUGCCUGGAAUUAAAUCUCCAGGUCCUGGCAAAGUGAGGAGCUUGGGAUUUGCUACUUCCCAGAGCUCCCUCUUUUUCUGCUGAGAUUCUCCAAUUACUGAAGAAUCUGUCCUCGAGAUUUUUGCGACACACAGUGUCACUGUGAAGAACCAAGCACGCUGCAAGCAUCAGGGUCCCUUCCAAGGCAAAGUCAAGGCCCAAAGUCACAUCAAGGACAGUAUGGAGGAGACAGAGGAAGAAAAACAUGGUGUUGGAGAAAGCCAGAACUGCAUUAAAGCCAAAAUCUUGGUGAGAAAAUACAGUGGAGCCGUUGUGCUGAAUCUGAAAAAUCACUGUCUGCAGAGGAAUGUUGUGAUAGAAAAAGGGCCAAUGGCUUCAAGGGUGUGUUUGGAUUAACAUUAGGAAGAAAUUCCAUACUGUGAGGGUGGUGAGGCACUGUUUGUCCCAAGAAGCUGUGGUUGCUCCAUCCCUGGAGCAACCUGGUCUAGUGGGAGAUGUCCCUGCUCAUGGCAGAGGAUUGGAAGGAAAUGAUCUUGAGGUUUCUUCCAACCAAAACCAUUCUGUGAAAAACUAAUUUAGCUAGAAAACACUGCUGAACUAUCUUCUGGGAGUUACAGUUCAGGUACCUGACCUAGUAUAAAGUGUCUCUCUUUAUUGCAGGGGGAUUGGACUAGAUGAGCUUUAAAAGUACCAGCUCAAACUAUCCUGUGAGACCUUUUGUUCAUAUAUUUGAUCCCCAAUGACAGCAAAUUUCUAGUUCAAUUCCCAAGGCCAGAGUGCAUCACAGGAUAUGCAAGGCAAACAGCAAGUCUGGUCGAUUGAAACAUUUAAGAAAGAAAAGCAUCAAUUUCAAGCAAUAUAUAUAUAAUUUUUCAUCUAAAGCUUUGUAUUUUUUGUCCAAACUUCCUAUAGAAAAGGGAAGACGUUUCUGAGCUACUCUGUAAUGCACGGCACAAAGAGCUCAUUUUCAGAGUAAGUGCAAUAACUGAAAUGUUUAAACAUUUGAAGUGACCAAGUGAAGAAGGUGGCAAAGAGAUAGUCUUUAGAAAAACGUUGUGAUCAUGAGUAAAUAUGAAGAUACAGGUUGCCCCUCCCUGACUUCCUGCUAUACAUACUUAUAUUUCUUUAUACAUAAAAAUAUAAUGCAUGCACACAAUUUGGAGUCAAUAAAUUGUGAUUGUUCUGCGCUAGUUGGAGUUCCCUCUGUGUAGAGCCUCUAAGAGAAGUAUCUCACAAAAGUUGCUUGUGGCUUGUUAUUCACAAGCAACAAGAGGCCAGAACAUUCAGCACCUCUGAAAGUCACACCAAUGGGUUUGGGUGUCUAAUUUUGACUGCUUUUUCCUCAGUUGGACCAGAACUGACUUGAACAAGUGGCUGAUUUUGUUGUAUCCAUCAGAUAGCAACCGUAUGAUCCAUGCUUAUCACAGCUUGUGCAACACAUGGGAGUGUUCCUAUCAGCAGCAGCAUCUGACUAACGAGACUGUUGCUCUUCUUUUUCUGCUAAUAUUUUAGUUCU